UACGUAGGGGGCUAGCGUUGUCCGGAAUCAUUGGGCGUAAAGAGCGUGUAGGCGGCUCGGUAAGUCCGCUGUGAAAGUCCAGGGCUCAACCCUGGAAUGCCAGUGGAAACUGUCGAGCUAGAGUCCGGAAGAGGCGAGUGGAAUUCCUGGUGUAGCGGUGAAAUGCGCAGAUAUCAGGAGGAACACCGGUGGCGAAGGCGGGUCUCUGGGCCGUAACUGACGCUGAGGAGCGAAAGCAUGGGGAGCGAACAGG
rnacentral:rRNA from 1 species